UACGUAGGGUGCAAGCGUUGUCCGGAAUUAUUGGGCGUAAAGAGCUCGUAGGCGGUUUGUCGCGUCUGCUGUGAAAACUCGGGGCUUAACUCCGGGCCUGCAGUGGGUACGGGCAGACUAGAGUAUGGGAGAGGGAAGUGGAAUUUCCGGUGUAGCGGUGAAAUGCGUAGAUAUCAGGAGGAACACCGGUGGCGAAGGCGGCUCUCUGGGCCUGUCCUGAC
rnacentral:rRNA from 1 species